GUCAUGGAGGAAAGAAAGAGGUGGAGAGAAAGCUUACUUUGGAACAGUGGUUUUCAACUUUGGCUGCAUACUGAAAUAACCUGGGCAGCUCUAAAAAGUACUGAUGUCUAGGUCUCACCCUCAGAGACUCUUAAUUUAAUUGCCUUGGUAUGUUGCUAGUGAAUUGAGUUUCAAAAGCUCUCCAGCUGAUAUUAAUGUGCAGCUAAGAUUGAAAACCUCUGCUCUAGAGUUUAAAAAGGCCAAUAUUGUUUUAGGAAAACAGGUGAAGAAUAUUAGUUAGAAUUCUUCAACUUCUCAGGGUCCAAAGUAUACUUGAGUGAAGAAGUGAAAACUUGUAGAGAAGAAAACAGGUUAGGACAAGAAGUUACUUAGACUUGGGCCAGCAGGUGAUAUCAUUUUUACAAGGUGAAGAUGAGAAGAAAGAAGAAUGAAAUAGUUAAAAGAAGCAUAAACUGGACCUGAAGGCAGAAUCAUAAUUCAAAGUUCAGCUGAUCUAGGAAUGCAGCCUGAAGAAAUCAGCACCUCCUAGAUACAGAAUGAACAGAAGGGCUCAGAAGAAAUAUGAGGACAAAUAGGUAUGCUAGACUGAGGCAGAAGAGGCUUGAAUAUUGACUUCAUCUUUUAAGAUAACUCCCCAGAUCUCCAGUUGGUUGAAUGUGUGCAUGUAGAACCCACAGACACAGAGGAUGGGCUACAUUAUGUAGCGUAA
rnacentral:lncRNA from 10 species